rnacentral:rRNA from 1 species
GAUGAACGCUAGCGGCAGGCUUAAUACAUGCAAGUCGAGGGGUAGCAAGAUUGUAGCAAUACAAUUGUUGACGACCGGCAAACGGGUGCGGAACACGUACACAACCUUCCUACAAGUGGGGAAUAGCCCAGAGAAAUAUGGAUUAAUACCCCGUAACAUAGCGAUGUGGCAUCACAUUGCUAUUAUAGUUUCGGCGCUUGUUGAUGGGUGUGCGGCUGAUUAGAUAGUUGGCGGGGUAACGGCCCACCAAGUCUACGAUCAGUAGCUGAUGUGAGAGCAUGAUCAGCCACACGGGCACUGAGACACGGGCCCGACUCCUACGGGAGGCAGCAGUAAGGAAUAUUGGACAAUGGACGCAAGUCUGAUCCAGCCAUGCCGCGUGAAGGAUUAAGGUCCUCUGGAUUGUAAACUUCUUUUAUAAGGGACGAAAAAGGGUCUUUCUAGAUCGUCUGACGGUACCUUGUGAAUAAGCACCGGCUAACUCCGUGCCAGCCGCCGCCGUAACAC